UACGGAGGGUGCGAGCGUUAUCCGGAUUCACUGGGUUUAAAGGGUGCGUAGGUGGGAAUGUAAGUCAGUGGUGAAAUCUCUGAGCUUAACUCAGAAACUGCCAUUGAUACUAUGUUUCUUGAAUUUUCUGGAGGUCAGCGGAAUAUGUCAUGUAGCGGUGAAAUGCUUAGAUAUGACAUAGAACACCAAUUGCGAAGGCAGCUGGCUACACGGAUAUUGACUCUGAGGCACGAAAGCGUGGGGAUCAAACAGG
rnacentral:rRNA from 1 species